GGAUUCCAAAUUAAACUAUUCUUCG
rnacentral:tRNA from 1 species